CACCUCAGCUGUGAGAUGUAGGACAGACACUGAAGGAAACUCCUCACUUCACUCUCUUCAUCUGACCAGUCCUUCAGCUCUACUGGUUUUUUCUCUGGUUGGAGUUUCAGCACUUCUAGGAGGAGGGAGGCCUUUCUCUCUGAGAGGUCUAUGGACCAGACUGCAGGAGCUGACUGGUAAACUGGCUGUAAUGCUGGAAGGACACUCCUGCCUGUUUGAGUCUCAUAGUCCUUCACAUGUGAGUACAGAUCCAGCAGGAAAUCACUCUGUUUAUAAUUGUCUCCACUGAGAAAAGGAAAGGUGCUGUAAGAACACACUGAUGAUACCAGCUUCAGUGUCUUCUCUCCUGUCUGCUCCUCCCACUCUGCUGCUUGAGACAGGAGAUCCACCAGGAACUUGAUCUGCUCUGAGGGAUCAGACCUCCGUGGACAGAAACUGCAACAAGGACAGUAACAGCUAAUUCAGACA
ensembl:lncRNA